rnacentral:rRNA from 1 species
UACGUAGGGUGCGAGCGUUGUCCGGAAUUAUUGGGCGUAAAGAGCUUGUAGGCGGUUAGGUAGGUCCGUUGUGAAAACUCGAGGCUCAACCUCGAGACGCCGAUGGAAACCAUCUAACUAGAGUCCGGAAGAGGAGAAUGGAAUUCCUGGUGUAGCGGUGAAAUGCGCAGAUAUCAGGAAGAACACCCGUGGCUAAGGCGGUUCUCUAGUACGGUACUGACGCUGAGACGCGAAAGCGUGGGGAGCGAACAGG